rnacentral:rRNA from 1 species
UACGGGGGGGGUAAGCGUUGUUCGGAAUUACUGGGCGUAAAGCGUGCGCAGGCGGCGCGUUAAGACAGGUGUGAAAGCCCCGAGCUUAACUUGGGAAUUGCGCUUGUGACUGGCGUGCUGGAGUGUGGCAGAGGGAGGUGGAAUUCCACGUGUAGCAGUGAAAUGCGUAGAGAUGUGGAGGAACACCGAUGGCGAAGGCAGCCUCCUGGGCCAGCACUGACGCUCAUGCACGAAAGCGUGGGGAGCAAACAGG